UACGUAGGGUGCAAACGUUGUUCGGAAUUACUGGGCGUAAAGAGCUCGUAGGUGGUUUGUCGCGUUGUUCGUGAAAACUCACAGCUUAACUGUGGGCGUGCGGGCGAUACGGGCAGACUAGAGUACUGCAGGGGAGACUGGAAUUCCUGGUGUAGCGGUGGAAUGCGCAGAUAUCAGGAGGAACACCGAUGGCGAAGGCAGAUCUCUGGGCCGUAACUGACGCUGAGGAGCGAAAGCAUGGGGAGCGAACAGG
rnacentral:rRNA from 1 species